rnacentral:rRNA from 1 species
CCUACGGGGGGCAGCAGUGGGGGAUAUUGCACAAUGGGGGAAACCCUGAUGCAGCGACGCCGCGUGAGUGAAGAAGGAUUUCGGGAUGUAAAGCUCUAUCAGCAGGGAAGAAAAUGACAGUACCUGACCAAGAAGCCACGGCUAACUACGUGCCAGCAGCCGCGGUAAUACGUAGGGGGCAAGCGUUAUCCGGAUUUACUGGGUGUAAAGGGAGCGUAGACGGUUUUGUAAGUCUGGAGUGAAAGCGCGGGGCCCCACCCCGGGACUGCUGGGGAAACUGUGUAACUGGAGUACAGGAGGGGCAGGCGGAAUUCCUGGUGUAGCGGUGAAAUGCUUAGAUAUCAGGAGGAACUCCGGCUGCGAAGGCGGCCUGCUGGACUGAAACUGACGUUGAUGCUCGAAAGCGUGGGUAGCAAACAGGAUUAGAUACCCCAGUAGUC